rnacentral:rRNA from 1 species
GACGAACGCUGGCGGCGUGCCUAAUACAUGCAAGUCGAGCGGACUUUCAAGAAGCUUGCUUUUUGAAAGUUAGCGGCGGACGGGUGAGUAACACGUGGGCAACCUGCCUGCAAGACGGGGAUAACUCCGGGAAACCGGGGCUAAUACCGGAUAAUAUCUUCCUUCGCAUGAAGGAAGGUUGAAAGGCGGCGCAAGCUGCCGCUUGCAGAUGGGCCCGCGGCGCAUUAGCUAGUUGGUGAGGUAACGGCUCACCAAGGCGACGAUGCGUAGCCGACCUGAGAGGGUGAUCGGCCACACUGGGACUGAGACACGGCCCAGACUCCUACGGGAGGCAGCAGUAGGGAAUCUUCCGCAAGGGACGAAAGUCUGACGGAGCAACGCCGCGUGAGCGAAGAAGGGCUUCGGAUCGUAAAGCUCUGUUGUCAGGGAAGAACAAGUACCGUUCGAACAGGGCGGUACCUUGACGGUACCUGACCAGAAAGCCACGGCUAACUACGUG